rnacentral:rRNA from 1 species
GGGGAAGACUUCACAUGGACGAAGUCUGACGGAGCAACGCCGCGUGAGUGAUGAAGGUUUUUCGGAUCGUAAAACUCUGUUGUUAGGGAAGAACAAGUACCGUUCGAAUAGGGCGGUACCUUGACGGUACCUAACCAGAAAGCCACGGCUAACUACGUGCCAGCAGCCGCGGUAAUACGUAGGUGGCAAGCGUUGUCCGGAAUUAUUGGGCGUAAAGCGCGCGCAGGCGGUUUCUUAUGUCUGAUGUGAAAGCCCCCGGCUCAACCGGGGAGGGUCAUUGGAAACUGGGGAACUUGAGUGCAGAAGAGGAGAGUGGAAUUCCACGUGUAGCGGUGAAAUGCGUAGAGAUGUGGAGGAACACCAGUGGCGAAGGCGACUCUCUGGUCUGUAACUGACGCUGAGGCGCGAAAGCGUGGGGAGCGAACAGGAUUAGAUACCCUGGUAGUCCACGCCGUAAACGAUGAGUGCUAAGUGUUUGAGGGUUUCCGCCCUUUAUGCUGCACCAAACGCAUUAAGCACUCCGCCUGGGGAGUACGGUCGCAAGACUGAAACUCAUAGGAAUUGACGGGGGCCCGCACAAGCGGUGGAGCAUGUGGUUUAAUUCGAAGCAACGCGAAGAACCUUACCAGGUCUUGACAUCCUCUGACAACCCUAGAGAUAGGGCUUCCCUUCGUGGGCAGACUGACAUGUGGUGCAUGGUUG